rnacentral:rRNA from 1 species
GACGAACGCUGGCGGCGUGCCUAAUACAUGCGAGUAGAACGCUGAAGAGAGGAGCUUGCUCUUCUUGGAUGAGUUGCGAACGGGUGAGUAACGCGUAGGUAACCUGCCUUGUAGCGGGGGAUAACUAUUGGAAACGAUAGCUAAUACCGCAUAACAAUGGAUGACACAUGUCAUUUAUUUGAAAGGGGCAAUUGCCCCACUACAAGAUGGACCUGCGUUGUAUUAGCUAGUAGGUGAGGUAAUGGCUCACCUAGGCGACGAUACAUAGCCGACCUGAGAGGGUGAUCGGCCACACUGGGACUGAGACACGGCCCAGACUCCUACGGGAGGCAGCAGUAGGGAAUCUUCGGCAAUGGGGGCAACCCUGACCGAACAACGCCGCGUGAGUGAAGAAGGUUUUCGGAUCGUAAAGCUCUGUUGUAAGUCAAGAACGGGUGUGAGAGUGGAAAGUUCACACUGUGACGGUAGCUUACCAGAAAGGGACGGCUAACUACGU